rnacentral:rRNA from 1 species
UCCUACGGGAGGCAGCAGUGGGGAAUAUUGGACAAUGGGGGCAACCCUGAUCCAGCCAUGCCGCGUGUGUGAAGAAGGCCUUCGGGUUGUAAAGCACUUUCA